UCUGCCUCCUUAUAUUGCAACUGAUAAACAAACAGAAGAACGACAUAUAAAAGACAAUGAAUACAAAACACUUUUUUAAAGUGUUAACUAUCAUGGCAUAAAUAUGGAAUUAAUAGGAUCAAUUCCCAAAUAGUUACUCUAACAUGUCAGAUAUAUGCAACAACAAUAUUUGCUUAACUCUAAAGGGAAAAUGUACACAAUGUAAACUUUUGUGCAUAUAGGGAUAUGUGCUAUCUAGAAUGAUUAAAUAUGGUAGGAAGAAUCUUUGAAAAGAUUUGAAAUUCAAGAUGCAAACUUCUACAAAAUACAAUACCUGUUUUUGAAGAUUGAG
rnacentral:misc_RNA from 1 species